GACGAACGCUGGCGGCGUGCUUAACACAUGCAAGUCGAACGGAAAGGCCCAGCUUUUGUGGGGUGCUCGAGUGGCGAACGGGUGAGUAACACGUGAGUAACCUGCCCUUGACUUUGGGAUAACUUCAGGAAACUGGGGCUAAUACCGGAUAGGAGCUCCUGCUGCAUGGUGGGGGUUGGAAAGUUUCGGCGGUUGGGUAUGGACGCGCGGCUUAUCAGCGUGUUGGGGGGGUUGUGGUAUACCAAGGCUUUCAGGGGGAGCGGGCCUGAGAGGGUGACCGGACACAUUGGGACUGAUAUACGGCCGAGACUCCUGCGGGAGGGAGCAGUGGGGAAUAUUGCAAAAUGGGCGGAAGCCUGAUGCAGCAACGCCGCGUGCGGGAUGACGGCCUUCGGGUUGUAAACCGCUUUCGCCUGUGACGAAGCGUGAGUGACGGUAAUGGGUAAAGAAGCACCGGCUAACUACGUG
rnacentral:rRNA from 1 species